AAGGCAUGAAGUGAAUUUAUCCAGAGAAAUGAGGAAGUACAACAGCCAGAAAAGAUAGACCUUUAUCACAGACCACAGUAUUUUUUUUUAAAAAAAGAAGGACAAUCAACACUUUUGGCCAAAGGGCAAAAAAAAAAAGUAUUCAGCGACUGUAAAUGAGAUGAGAUAGUACAGAUUUGUCUGCUUCUACUUUAUGAUCCUUGCCCCUAACUAAUACUGAGAUUCUCUCCCUGUUGACUUUCAUGUUGGAAGGGAUGAUGUUGUGGAAACAAUUAUCGCUGUUUGUGGAUGAAUCAUGGAGUUUAAAAUCAAGGAAGAAUUCCUUCUUCUCCCCUCCUGCUUGACUGCUAAGGCAAGAGCUUCCCGCGCAGUGGAAACCAAGAAACAUUGGGAUUCUGGAAUGAGAAUUUUUCAUUUCUUGAAGUCAACUGGCCCAGAUGUCUGACAGGUACUGGUGGAAGUCUUGAGAAAGUUCUUUUGCGGGGCAGGACUCUGGAACAU
rnacentral:lncRNA from 1 species